GGUUCCCAGGCUUUGGAGGGCCUGCCUUCACUCUUUGGCCCGAGUCGCCCACAGUGGCCCCGAGUGACACUGGCCCCACACGUCAGCUGGGUGAGGUGUCUUGAGUGUUGUCUCGGCAGGAAAUCUUUCCACCGGCAGGUUCCUGUUGGUGCUCACCUGCCCUCAUGGUCCCCUUGUCACCCCAAAACUGGGUUUGCCUCUGGGUGGGUAUUGCGCCAAAAGCCACAACCAAGCCAAAGAGCGGGAGAGGGCAGAAUUAAUUACUCGCAGCAAAGAAGAAGAAGAUCUGAAUUAUUUCCCCAAGCAGUGUCUCCCUGAACAGCAAAAGUGGGGAUGUUUUAAGCUAAGGGAGCUCAUGCAGUCACGAGGGGACUUGCGCAGAGAAGAUUUUGGCCUGGAAUUGGGGCAAGAGUCGUGCCAGGUUGAAGGAGUCCCAGCCUUUGGUGCCUGAAGUCACGAGAGCCAGCAAAGGCCAGCAUCAGCCCUUCUCUGGCUCCAUUUAGUCUAGUGGCUGAUUGUUCAAGGGGAGCUGGACCCUAAAAAACAGCUCCAGAAUGUGCGUCAAGCUAUUCUUUACCCUGGAGGCAGAACUGGAAGUCUUUGGUGACUGACCGAUUGUCUCCGACGUGGUUAAGUUAUUUCCCUGGCCCGGCAAUUGAAGCUCAUUCCCACAUUCUUUUGUUCCCUCCAAAUUAUUAACUACUGAGACCCAUUCUUCUGCGUGGACAAGCAUGGGGGCCAAGGGUCGAUCACAGAAUGGUCUCGGCCUAAACUGGCUGCUCCUGUGUCAAGAUAAGCCAUGCCUGGUUCUCUUCUGCAGGAUGCCCACGCUAUCUGCCUACAGCCUGAUUGGCUGGCAUCAGGUUUCUUUGCGUGUGGGUGCAGACAUGCCACGGGAGGCAUGAGGGCUGAACCGCACUUGCCUUGCAUCUGCCCGGUCUAAACAGAAGACACGCAGUGCUGGUGAAAUUAACAAGACAUAUUCCAUGUUUUUCUCUGUUGCAAGCCAGGAUGAGCGUGCUGCUCUGUGGACUGUUGCAAGGUAGUAAAGCUUCUUAGCUAGAAGCCAACGCAUUGCACCCGAACCCCAGAUCCAUCCCUUACUAGCUCUGUGUCACCUUGGGCGAGCCAUUUGACCUUUCUAUGCUUUAGAUUCUCUGACUGUACGUGGGGACAGCAGUGAUGGUUCCCCGGGUGGUUGUGAGGCUAGGAGAACUAAUGGAUUACAUCAUGCGGCACAGUGCCUGGCACGUAGGAUAAGCUUAGGAAAUGCACCAUGUCCUCUUCCUUGACGAAGCUUCAGUGGGUCCCACAGAUACAGGAUGAGGUCCAGUCUCUGCAGUGGGGUUCUCUCUGGGCUCUGGCCCCUCUUUCCCUCGCUAGCUCCUCUCACCUCAUGCCCCUCGCCUACCUGAUAGCCCAGGUAUGCUGAUAAACCACACAUGUGUGUCACACAUACACACGUGAUGGCUACAUGUCCCCGAGGAUCUAACGCCAAGCUGAAACCCUUCACAACUCUCACGGUCCAGAGAAAGCACUUUAAGCACUGAAUGACUCUUAGAGACAUGUCUGAUGCUGAUGUUUCAGGUUUCCCAGGUAACUGGAGGUGGGACAUUGGCUUCUGUCAGCGGAGUGGAGUUGUUGCCUUUGUAUUUUACUCAAUUGUAUCCCCAGCUUUGAUGAGUAGUCUUUGCAUAAUUAACAUCCUUUCAGUAUUUGAAUCACUUUUGUUUUUUUUAGUUUCUUGAUGACUUGUUCGGGCUAUGUCAUCAACAAAGGUCAAGUCAAUGUUACAGCCUUCCUUGGAAGGAUAAGAUGAGGAUCAUGGCAGGACUUGGGAUGGUUAAGAUCUAGGAAGAAAGUCUUCUAAAGUCAAUUAAGACCCAGACAAAAAGCUUGGUUGCAAAAAGGAAUUGGAUAUCCUGGUGUAACACCAGGAAUUGGUCUGCUUGACGAAAUGUCGUCUAGGAAACUUACCUGUGAAGAAUGCAUGUUGCACAUUGGGACUUGAAGAGACAGUUGUACACCCACCUUCACAAAAGCAUUAUUCCUAACAGCCAAAAGGUGGAAGCAACCCACAGCGUCCAUCAGUAGAUGAGUAGCUCAAAUGUGGCAAGGGCAUACAACGGGAAAGGGUUCAGGAAGGCUAUUCUGACACACGUGACCACAUGGAUCAACCUUAACACUGGGUUCAAUGAAAUAAGCCCCUCGCCAAAAUAUAAUUACUGUGUGAUUCCACUUCUGUCAGGUACCCAGAGCAGUCACAUGAUAAAUCCAGAAAUUGAAUGGUGGUUACCUGGGGCCGAGGGGAGGAGGGACUGGAAAGUUUCUGUUUAAUGGGUACAGAGUUUGAUUUUUACAAUAGGAAAGGGGUUCUGGAGAUGGAGGGUGGUGACAGAUGACAAGGUGCAUGUAUGUGAUGCCGCUGAACUGUGUGCUUUAAAAUGACUAAGAGGGAUGAGUUUGUUAUGUGUAUCUUACUACAGUUUAAAAAAAAUUGUGAAGCCUAUAUAGGUUGCAUUUCAAGAAUGUGACCAGAUCAUUUCAACACGUCUUAGGCUGGUUUUAAUGGAAGUCAGGCAAUAGAAGGUACUCAGAUCUCCUUCAAACACAAAACUAAGUAUGAACACGUUUGCUUUGGGUACGUUAGCCUCUGAGGAUGCUCCUGGAAGGCCUGCUGUUUGAGGCUGCCUUGGCAAAGAGUGUGGCAUGGAGAGAGAGAGAUUCAAGUUGGUUCUUUUCUAUGAAAUUCUCCUGUUCCAAAAGUAACUUGUUACAGUUCUGCCUCGAGGGGACAGAAGGUAGAAAUGUUGUGUAGGAAACGGAAAAAGAAAAAGAGUCUGUUUAGAGAGGGCCGUUUAAAUGCAUUCAACUGGACUAGGUCCCCCCCCGCCCCACCCCCAUCUGAAGAGCAAAUGGUGGUGACCCGUUUUGAACCUCGUUUACUUUAACUAAAAGUAAACUUAACCCUUUGCAGUGAAACAGUGCUUGCGGGUUCUGCUAUGUGGGAGCACAGGCUGAAAUCCCAUGACCUAGAAGAAGAUUUUAUUGGCUGCUCCACCUGUGUCUAGAGAGGCUGACCUGCAACAGGGAAGAGUGACCUGGCUGGGUGGCCCAGCGACCCGUGCUCAGCGUUCUUUACUCAUCCUGGGGUGUUGAGUUCCAGACUCACCUCUCCAGUGGCCUCCCGGACACCUCCUCUGGCAUGUGCCGUGGGCAUCUCCAAGUUGACAUGUCAAUGCAUCAAUUUUAUUUGUUUUUAAGGCCACACCUGUCGCAUAGGGAAGUCCCAGGCUAGGAGUCGAAUUGAAACUGCAGCUGCCAGCCUACACGCCAGCCACACCAACACAGGAUCCGAGCAGCAUCUCUGACCUACACCACAGCUCGUGGUAACGCCGGAUCCUUA
rnacentral:lncRNA from 1 species